rnacentral:rRNA from 1 species
ACGGGUGAGUAACACGUGGGAACGUACCUUUCGGUUCGGAAUAAUUCAGGGAAACUUGGACUAAUACCGGAUAAGCCCUUCGGGGGAAAGAUUUAUCGCCGAUAGAUCGGCCCGCGUCUGAUUAGCUAGUUGGUGAGGUAAUGGCUCACCAAGGCGACGAUCAGUAGCUGGUCUGAGAGGAUGAUCAGCCACAUUGGGACUGAGACACGGCCCAAACUCCUACGGGAGGCAGCAGUGGGGAAUAUUGGACAAUGGGCGCAAGCCUGAUCCAGCCAUGCCGCGUGAGUGAUGAAGGCCUUAGGGUUGUAAAGCUCUUUUGUCCGGGAAGAUAAUGACUGUACCGGAAGAAUAAGCCCCGGCUAAUUUCGUGCCAGCAGCCGCGGUAAUACGAAGGGGGCUAGCGUUGCUCGGAAUCACUGGGCGUAAAGGGCGCGUAGGCGGACUCUUAAGUCGGGGGUGAAAGCCCAGGGCUCAACCCUGGAAUUGCCUUCGAUACUGAGAGUCUUGAGUUCGGAAGAGGUUGGUGGAACUGCGAGUGUAGAGGUGAAAUUCGUAGA